UGUGUGUAAUGCAUACGCCAAAUGCCAAUUUUGCGUGCUUAUGAUACGCCAAUCCUUCACAUUAAUUUUGUUGGAGAACAGAUGCGUCCAAAUAUCACGCAUCAUCUUCAGCGGUAGUGACGUCACCAGCGAGGCUCGUCCAGUUCACCUGAUGCGCGUACACCUUCAAACAGGUAAGUAAGGUUACGUUGGAUUACAUACUCCACAAGAACCUGUAAUCCAGCAGCUCUUUAAAGAAGCCAUCUCUUGUAAAAUCUCUCUCUCACUCUCUCUCUCUCUCUCUCUCUCUGCUAGAAUUAACAGGGGACUUCAACUCCACGCUUCCAAUGCUGAUUUUGAAGAAGCUGUCAAGGGGGCUGAACAAGUCCUUCAAAGGUUCAACCCUUCACAGGAAGGCCUGUCAUGAGAUUUGAAUUUGACCAUCUUGUGCAUUUAUGAAGAAGACCAAAAGCUGCAAAGGCAAACACUUCCAAUGGUAGAAACUGAGAGUUUGCAUGAUGGCAUUUUCUCAGACGCUGAAUCUGAUGUGUACAGAUGAACUCAGGAGCCUGCUAGAGUUGCCAGGGAAUUUGAGCUUGAACUGAAGACCAGAAACGCAGAGAAAAUCAGUCAAACCAGUCCUAAAGAAAUGAGGAAUGAACAUGGACUUCUUGUGCCCCAAAAGAAAAGACAGAAAGGUGAAAAAAUGAGCAAAUCAGCUGUGCAUCAUCUCUGUGAUUUGGGAAGGAAAUGACUGAAUAUG